UGAAAUCUCAACAGGCCCGGACACUGGAAGGAUUGACAGAUUGAUAGCUCUUUCUUGAUUCGGUGCGUGGUGGUGCAUGGCCGUUCUUAGUUGGUUGAGUGAUUUGUCUGGUUAAUUCCGUUAACGAACGAGACCUUAACCUGCUAAAUAGUGACGCGGUUCAUCGAACCGUGGGCCACUUCUUAGAGGGACUAUCGGAUUCAAACCGAUGGAAGUGUGAGGCAAUAA
rnacentral:rRNA from 1 species